rnacentral:sRNA from 1 species
GCUGGGCAUGGUGGCGCAUGCCUAUAAUCUCAAAGGCUUGGGAGGCUGAGACGAGAGGAUUGCAAAUUUGAGACCAGCCUCAGCAACUUAGUGAGAUCCUAUGUAACUUAGUGAGACCCUGUCUCAA